rnacentral:misc_RNA from 1 species
ACUGAACGCCGUGCAGACCAAGCGCCUUCCAGGCCUGCAGGGGAGAAGUGAGUCUCCUGCAGCGUACACACUUGCAGCGAGGACUCGUCGAGGAGACGGGACAACCAACGCCGUGUGGCGUCGUCCUGCCCACUGCGAUUCCGGUGCAUGCAGAGCGGGCCGUUGCCGCGAUCACGCUCCACACCACCGCAACGCAGCAAAGGCAGCAAAGGCAGAAAAGCGGUGGGCGCCUGCGCGCAUAUGUGGUGAGCCGUCAGCGCGACUCGUCGUGAGCCGGUCCAAGCGCGAUCAUGGCCGCACGUCUCCUCGGCACCGCGCCAGCCAAGCGCUGUCCGCCGACACCAAGAGGCCGCAGCCGUGCCCGGCGGCCGGGCUGCAGGCUCUUGGCCUCCCCACACAAAGUCGGGGUAAUCUUAAUAUGAUGCACUGAAGUGGUCUGUAUGAACAGGGCUUGCUGAGGUCUUUAAGCAAAACGAUAUGCGUGGUGCAACAAGUUUCAUUUUUCGUGCCUCCCCCCCUCUUUUCAAGAGGGAAGUGCUUCUCGUCGAUGGCGCGAACGGAGAGCUGCCAGGUUGUGCGCAAAAGCUGAUUCAAAGCAGGCAACGGCGAAUGCUCUGCUCUAGAAAGAGAGACCACGUUGCGUGCGGCAGCAGCGAAGGCGCAAGCGGAGGUGGUGGGUCUGCAUUCGAUCCCUCUCUCUAUGCUGAUUUCUUACCGGUACGUCGAAGGCCUUGACUUGUCUCCCAUCGCUCUUGUCUUCACUUCUACACAAUCGCAUGUGCAAACGCGGCUGCCAG